rnacentral:rRNA from 1 species
GUUGAUCCUGCCGGACCUGACUGCUAUCGGAUUGAUACUAAGCCAUGCGAGUCAUUGUAGCAAUACAAGGCAUACGGCUCAGUAACGCGUAGUCAACCUAACCUAUGGACGGGAAUAACCUCGGGAAACUGAGAAUAAUGCCCGAUAGAACAUUAUGCCUGGAAUGGUUUAUGUUCCAAAUGAUUUAUCGCCGUAGGAUGGGACUGCGGCCUAUCAGUUUGUUGGUGAGGUAAUGGCCCACCAAGACUAUUACAGGUACGGGCUCUGAGAGGAGUAGCCCGGAGAUGGGUACUGAGACACGGACCCAGGCCCUAUGGGGCGCAGCAGGCGAGAAAACUUUGCAAUGUGCGAAAGCACGACAAGGUUAAUCCGAGUGGUUUCUGCUAAAGAAACCUUUUGUCGGUCCUAGAAACACUGAUGAAUAAGGGGUGGGCAAGUUCUGGUGUCAGCCGCCGCGGUAAAACCAGCACCUCAAGUGGUCAGGAUGAUUAUUGGGCCUAAAGCAUCCGUAGCCGGCUCUGUAAGUUUUCGGUUAAAUCUGUACGCUCAACGUACAGGCUGCCGGGAAUACUGCAGAGCUAGGGAGUGGGAGAGGUAGACGGUACUCGGUAGGAAGGGGUAAAAUCCUUUGAUCUAUUGAUGACCACCUGUGGCGAAGGCGGUCUACCAGAACACGUCCGACGGUGAGGGAUGAAAGCUGGGGGAGCAAACCGGAUUAGAUACCCGGGUAGUCCCAGCUGUAAACUAUGCAAACUCAGUGAUGCAUUGGCUUGUGGCCAAUGCAGUGCUGCAGGGAAGCCGUUAAGUUUGCCGCCUGGGAAGUACGUACGCAAGUAUGAAACUUAAAGGAAUUGGCGGGGGAGCACCGCAACCUGAGGAUUGUGCGGUUUAAUUGGAUUCAACGCCGGAAAACUCACCAGUGCCGACGGACAAAUGAAAGCCAGUGUAAUGAGCUUGCUGGAUUGUUCGAGAGGUAGUGCAUGGCCGUCGUCAGUUCGUACCGUAAGGCGUUCUGUUAAGUCAGAUAACGAACGAGACCCUCAUCCCUAUUUGCUAAGGUCAGUCCGCUGAUCACAGGACUAUAGGGAGACCGCUGGCGCGAAGUCAGAGGAAGGCGAGGGCAACGGUAGGUCAGUAUGCUCCGAAUGCACUGGGCUACACGCGCAAUACAAAGGACGGGACAAUGGGCCGCUGCGCCGAGAGGCAUGUGGCAAUCUCGAAACCCGUUCGUAGUUCGGAUUGAGGGCUGUAACUCGCCCUCAUGAAGCUGGAUUAGGUAGUAAUCGCGUCUCAAUAAGGCGCGGUGAAUAUGCCCCUGCUCCUUGCACUCACCGCCC